GAACUUAGCAGAGAUUGCUUUGGUGGCCUUCGGGAACUCUGAGACAGGUGCUGCAUGGCUGUCGUCAGCUCGUGUUGUGGAAAUGUUGGGUUAAGUCCCGCCAACGAGCGCAACCCUUAUCCUUUGUUGCCAGCGGCUCGGCCGGGAACUCAAAGGAGACUGCCGGUGAUAAACCGGAGGAAGGUGGGGAUGACGUCAAGUCAUCAUGGCCCUUACGGCCAGGGCUACACACGUGCUACAAUGGCGCAUACAAAGAGAAGCGACCUCGCGAGAGCAAGCGGACCUCACAAAGUGCGUCGUAGUCCGGAUUGGAGUCUGCAACUCGACUCCAUGAAGUCGGAAUCGCUAGUAAUCGUAGAUCAGAAUGCUACGGUGAAUACGUUCCCGGGCCUUGUACACACCGCCCGUCACACCAUGGGAGUGGGUUGCAAAAGAAGUAGGUAGCUUAACCUUCGGGAGGGCGCUUACCACUUUGUGAUUCAUGACUGGGGUGAAGUCGUAACAAGGUAAGCGUAGCGAG
rnacentral:rRNA from 1 species